UAGGGAAUCUUCGGCAAUGGACGGAAGUCUGACCGAGCAACGCCGCGUGAGUGAAGAAGGUUUUCGGAUCGUAAAGCUCUGUUGUAAGAGAAGAACGAGUGUGAGAGUGGAAAGUUCACACUGUGACGGUAUCUUACCAGAAAGGGACGGCUAACUACGUGCCAGCAGCCGCGGUAAUACGUAGGUCCCUCCCGAGCGUUGUCCGGAUUUAUUGGGCGUAAAGCGAGCGCAGGCGGUUAGAUAAGUCUGAAGUUAAAGGCUGUGGCUUAACCAUAGUACGCUUUGGAAACUGUUUAACUUGAGUGCAAGAGGGGAGAGUGGAAUUCCAUGUGUAGCGGUGAAAUGCGUAGAUAUAUGGAGGAACACCGGUGGCGAAAGCGGCUUUUUGGCCUGUAACUGACGCUGAGGCUUGAAAGCGUGGGGAGCAAACAGGAUUAGAUACCCUGGUAGUCCACGCCGUAAACGAUGAGUGCUAGGUGUUAGACCCUUUCCGGGGUUUAGUGCCGCAGCUAACGCAUUAAGCACUCCGCCUGGGGAGUACGACCGCAAGGUUG
rnacentral:rRNA from 1 species